GCUUGACUGUGGCUUGAAGCUGGAGGUGGAUGAAGAGGCUUGAGAAGACCUUGGUUGACCCUGAUUCCUGAAGGAACGGCUUUCAAGAUUUUCGUCUGUAUUUUCACUGAAUAGCCCGGAGGCAUCAAAAGCUCCGAAGAUGUCAUGGGAGCAGACGAACUGCUAUCCUAACAGACUAAAUGACAUGGGGAGAGAAAAAGCUGAUUUAUGAUUAAACUGCCUGCAAAACCAGCUCCAUGAACAAGUCAAGGAAAAUAAGGGGAAAAUAGAAGACUCACUCAGCAGCUAUUCCAUCAGGAUGAAAA